GAUGAACGCUAGCGGGAGGCCUAAUACAUGCAAGUCGAACGGUAACAGGUAGCAAUACGCUGACGAGUGGCGCACGGGUGCGUAACGCGUACACAAUCUGCCUUAUACUGGGGCAUAGCCUUUGGAAACGAAGAAUAAUUCCCCAUAAUAUAUAGAAGAGGCAUCUCUUUUAUAUUAAAGCUCAGGCGGUAUAAGAUGAGUGUGCGUCCGAUUAGGUAGUUGGUGAGGUAACGGCUCACCAAGCCAACGAUCGGUAGCUGGUCUGAGAGGAUGAUCAGCCACACGGGCACUGAGACACGGGCCCGACUCCUACGGGAGGCAGCAGUAGGGAAUAUUGGACAAUGGGCGCAAGCCUGAUCCAGCCAUCCCGCGUGAAGGAUGAAGGUCCUCUGGAUUGUAAACUUCUUUUCUUCGGGAAUAAAAACUGGGGUUCUCCUCAGCUUGAAGGUACCGAAGGAAUAAGCACCGGCUAACUCCGUGCCAGCAGCCGCGGU
rnacentral:rRNA from 1 species